CCUACGGGUGGCAGCAGUGGGGAAUAUUGGGCAAUGGGCGCAAGCCUGACCCAGCAACGCCGCGUGAAGGAAGAAGGCUUUCGGGUUGUAAACCUCUUUUAUUAGGGACGAAGAAAGUGACGGUACCUGAUGAAUACGCCACCGCUAACUACGGGCCAGCAGACGCGGUAAUACGUAGGUGGCAAGCGUUCUCCGGAUUUACUGGGUGUAAAGGGCGUGUAGGUGGGAGUGCAAGUCAGAUGUGAAAACUAUGGGCUCAACCCAUAGCCUGCAUUUGAAACUGUACUUCUUGAGUGCAGGAGAGGCAGUCGGAAUUCGGGGUGUAGCGGUGAAAUGCGUAGAUAUACGGAGGAACACCAGUGGCGAAGGCGGCUUGCUGGACUGUAACUGACGCUGAGGCUCGAAAGCGUGGGGAGCAAACAGGAUUAGAUACCCGAGUAGUC
rnacentral:rRNA from 1 species